UACGUAGGGGGCAAGCGUUGUCCGGAAUCAUUGGGCGUAAAGAGCGUGUAGGCGGCCAGAAAAGUCCGCUGUGAAAACUCGAGGCUCAACUUCGAGCUGUCGGUGAAACUUUCUGGCUAGAGUCCGGAAGAGGAGAAUGGAAUUCCUGGUGUAGCGGUGAAAUGCGCAGAUAUCAGGAAGAACACCCGUGGCGAAGGCGGUUCUCUGGGCCGUAACUGACGCUGAGGAGCGAAAGCAUGGGGAGCGAACAGG
rnacentral:rRNA from 1 species